rnacentral:misc_RNA from 1 species
AAGUCGUAACAAGGUUUCCGUAGGUGAACCUGCGGAAGGAUCAUUAACACGUAUCCACGUAUCUACCUCUUGCGAACUUGUUUUUUGUUGAUAGUUGUGCUGGAUAUAUGUCAAGGAAGCAGAUGGCCAUGUCAGAGAUCGUACUUUCUGUUCUGCUUGCCUUCCACCCAUGUUUGAGUGCUAGUAUAUUUGAGAUGCUGGGGGAGUUGAAUCCCUCCAGUUCCUGCUAGCUAUUUUGGCUCCUUGGGAUGGGUAUCUGGUGUAACUCGAAUCAUGGUGGUUUAUUAACCAUUAACCCCUUUUUCAAUUUAUUUUGUCUUAGUGUGAGCGUUGGUGGUGGUAAUACACCCCCCACCCUCCCCAAAAAAACUAACAAAGAUACAACUCUUAGCAACGGAUAUCUCGGUUCU